rnacentral:rRNA from 1 species
GAUUAACGCUGGCGGCGUGCCUAAUACAUGCAAGUCGAACGCGCAUUUAUGCGAGUGGCGGACGGCUGAGUAACACGUUGGUACCUGCCCUUCACUUGGGGAUAAGCUCUGGAAACGGAGUCUAAUACCCAAUACCCUCUUCGGAGGAAAGAUUUAUCGGUGAAGGAGGGGCCUGCGCAUGAUUAGCUUGUUGGUGAGGUAACGGCUCACCAAGGCGACGAUCAGUAGCUGGUCUGAGAGGAUGAUCAGCCACAUUGGGACUGAGACACGGCCCAGACNCCUACGGGAGGCAGCAGUGGGGAAUCUUGCGCAAUGCGCGAAAGCGUGACGCAGCAACGCCGCGU